GCCAAUAUAUGUUUUAUAUCCAAAAAUGAACCCAAAAAUGUGAAAUAAGCCCUCAAGGAUAAAUACUUGUUUGAUAGUAUGAAAAAAUAACUUGUUUAGCUCGAAAAUAAUAGAGUACUAGAUUAAAACCCGCGAACCCGUGCGAUGUGCGAUUGUAAAUUAGUUUAUUUGUUUUUAUUAAAUUUUAAAUAUAUUAAGAAAUUA
rnacentral:lncRNA from 1 species